CAGUCGCCACGGUAAUACGUAGGGUGCAAGCGUUAAUCGGAAUUACUGGGCGUAAAGCGUGCGUAGGCGGUUUGUUAAGUCUGCUGUGAAAUCCCCGGGCUCAACCUGGGAAUGGCAGUGGAUACUGGCAAGCUAGAGUGUGUCAGAGGAUGGUGGAAUUCCCGGUGUAGCGGUGAAAUGCGUAGAGAUCGGGAGGAACAUCAGUGGCGAAGGCGGCCAUCUGGGACAACACUGACGCUGAGGCACGAAAGCGUGGGGAGCAAACAGGAUUAGAUACCCGCGUAGUCCCUGUCUCUUAUAC
rnacentral:rRNA from 1 species